rnacentral:tRNA from 1 species
GCCCGGUUAGCUCAGUUGGUAGAGCAUCAGACUUUUAAUCUGAGGGUCAUGGGUUCGAGUCCCAUAUCGGGCU